UUGUUUCCUAUUGGACAGACCGGCGAACAUGUUAUCUUUGCUCACUCAUGCGGAGUUGGGAGCAUCACACCAGGAGUGGCGUGGUCCCUUUCUCUGUUAUUUGGUCUGCGCCUGCUUUGGCUUUUACCGUACUCGUUAAGGGGAUGGUGGCUUCAGCGGCGUAGGUCAAGAAACAAAAACAAAAAUCCGGCGCUUUUAAGCGUCAAGGAACAUUAAAAAAAGGGAAGGGCAUCCAACCACAAAGUGGUCAGAGAUGUUCCCUCCGCCUUUAAUCUAUGACGACUCUCGGCAACGGAUAUCUUGGCUCCCGCCACGAUGAAGAACGUAGCGAAAUGCGAUACUUGGUGUGAAUUGCAGAAUCCCGUGAAUCAUCGAGUUUUUGAACGCAAGUUGCGCCCGAGGCCAUUCGGCCAAGGGCACGUCUGCCUGGGCGUCAAGCUAUGCGUCGCCCUCUCCACGUCCUCGUGUUAAUCGAGAUGGUCGCGGGAGAGCGGAGGAUUGGCCUUCGGCGCCAAGUUUCAAUGGCGUCGUAGGUUGAAACAUUACAGUUGGCUCUACGAUUUUGGUUGACGGCACAACAAGCGGUGGAUUUCCCAGUGAGUUGUUGUGCCUCACCCGAUCGAAAAGGCCCUUGGGACUCUUUUGAUGCAAGUUAUAUCUUUUCAGUUUUUCUUGCUUCAUCCUUAGCGACCCCAGGUCAGGCGAGAUUACCCGCUGAGUUUAAGCAUAUCAAUAAGCG
rnacentral:rRNA from 1 species